AUUCCCUUUCUCUCUCAUAUUCACUCAUACAAUUCCUGCCUCCCCUGUACAGAGUUCUCGUAUUUUCCAGAUCUCCAUCGUUGAAACUCCAAAGCUUCUAUGUCUCUCCUUCAGAAUCAGUAUCGAGCUUUCCCUUCAAAGUCUCCUCUCACCAAAUCAUCCCAAUCUCUCAAAUUUGUUUUAAAAUUCAAGCUUAGCGAAUACGAAGGAGGCAAACCCAGAUCUAAAAGCGAUGACGUCUUCAGCCGGAUUUCAAGCCGCGUUCUCUACAAAAUCCGGCUCUAAGGUGGAUGACUCGCGGCGACUCAUCUUGGGCGCGGUGGAAGUGGGACUGAGUUUUUGGGGCAUUCUGUUGGGUCGACUCAGACCGAGUUGGUCCCGAGUUACACCGCUAACAACAGCCAUAACAACAACAACAGCAACAAUGGCGGGAGUUUGUCGCUUUCUGUAGUUCUACACCAGAGGACCUUUUUGUCGACGCUCCUCAGGAGGUGAUUGAAAAGUUGUAUUCAGAGGUCAAUCGGUUGCAGGACGAGGAGGAGCUUGCUGCCAUCAAGGCCUUGGGAAGAUCGUUCUACAAGAUAGUGAUUUCAGAUUAUGACUACACAGAGUUUGAGAACUUCACUAAGUGGCUCGGGGUAUCACAGUAAAUUUGGCCUUUUAGAUAAAAGUUUUUGAUAGAGAUAUUUGAAUCUGCUGAGUUUUAGAUUUCGGAGAAUUAAAUUAUCAGGUUCCCUAGCGCUUGUUCCUAUAGCGCUGGUAGUUGGAAGACUGUUUAAUUGGAACCUUGACAGUGUAUUUUUAUGCUGUUUUAUUCUUUUUUGGGUCUAUUUCUAGCCUAAGCUUCCAGGUAUGCAUUCUGUUUUUUGCCUAGUGUUGGUAAUUUUUUUUUGACUUGUGACUUUCCAUUUAUAUUAAUUUAGUUAAUUGAAUAAUUAGUUGUUAGGUGCAUUUUUAACAAUUUUAUUGUGAC